rnacentral:ncRNA from 1 species
UAUCUUCAGGGUAGCGUGUAAAUCGCAACCGGCAGUGUACUGAUUUUUUCAGAAGUCUGCGAGCCUUUUGGGGUUGAUUCGGUGAAAUUCCGAAACCGACGGUAUAGUCCGGAUGAAAGAAGAUU